GACGAACGCUGGCGGCGUGCUUAACACAUGCAAGUCGAACGGAAAGGCCCUGCUUUUGUGGGGUGCUCGAGUGGCGAACGGGUGAGUAACACGUGAGUAACCUGCCCUUGACUUUGGGAUAACUUCAGGAAACUGGGGCUAAUACCGGAUAGGAGCUCCUGCUGCAUGGUGGGGGUUGGAAAGUUUCGGCGGUUGGGGAUGGACUCGCGGCUUAUCAGCUUGUUGGUGGGGUAGUGGCUUACCAAGGCUUUGACGGGUAGCCGGCCUGAGAGGGUGACCGGCCACAUUGGGACUGAGAUACGGCCCAGACUCCUACGGGAGGCAGCAGUGGGGAAUAUUGCACAAUGGGCGGAAGCCUGAUGCAGCAACGCCGCGGGCGGGAUGACGGCCUUCGGGUUGUAAACCGCUUUCGCCUGUGACGAAGCGUGAGUGACGGUAAUGGGUAAAGAAGCACCGGCUAACUA
rnacentral:rRNA from 1 species